AUUGAACGCUGGCGGCAGGCCUAACACAUGCAAGUCGAGCGGAUGAGGGGAGCUUGCUCCUGGAUUCAGCGGCGGACGGGUGAGUAAUGCCUAGGAAUCUGCCUGGUAGUGGGGGAUAACGUCCGGAAACGGGCGCUAAUACCGCAUACGUCCUGAGGGAGAAAGUGGGGGAUCUUCGGACCUCACGCUAUCAGAUGAGCCUAGGUCGGAUUAGCUAGUUGGUGUGGUAAAGGCCUACCAAGGCGACGAUCCGUAACUGGUCUGAGAGGAUGAUCAGUCACACUGGAACUGAGACACGGUCCAGACUCCUACGGGAGGCAGCAGUGGGGAAUAUUGGACAAUGGGCGAAAGCCUGAUCCAGCCAUGCCGCGUGUGUGAAGAAGGUCUUCGGAUUGUAAAGCACUUUAAGUUGGGAGGAAGGGCAGUAAGUUAAUACCUUGCUGUUUUGACGUUACCAACAGAAUAAGCACCGGCUAACUUCGUG
rnacentral:rRNA from 1 species